AUGCAAGUCGAGCGGACAGAUGGGAGCUUGCUCCCUGAUGUUAGCGGCGGACGGGUGAGUAACACGUGGGUAACCUGCCUGUAAGACUGGGAUAACUCCGGGAAACCGGGGCUAAUACCGGAUGGUUGUUUGAACCGCAUGGUUCAGACAUAAAGGUGGCUUCGGCUACCACUUACAGAUGGACCCGCGGCGCAUUAGCUAGUUGGUGAGGUAACGGCUCACCAAGGCGACGAUGCGUAGCCGACCUGAGAGGGUGAUCGGCAACACUGGGACUGAGACACGGCCCAGACUCCUACGGGAGGCAGCAGUAGGGAAUCUUCCGCAAUGGACGAAAGUCUGACGGAGCAACGCCGCGUGAGUGAUGAAGGUUUUCGGAUCGUAAAGCUCUGUUGUUAGGGAAGAACAAGUGCCGUUCAAAUAGGGCGGCACCUUGACGGUACCUAACCAGAAAGCCACGGCUAACUACGUGCCAGCAGCCGCGGUAAUACGUAGGUGGCAAGCGUUGUCCGGAAUUAUUGGGCGUAAAGGGCUCGCAGGCGGUUUCUUAAGUCUGAUGUGAAAGCCCCCGGCUCAACCGGGGAGGGUCAUUGGAAACUGGGGAACUUGAGUGCAGAAGAGGAGAGUGG
rnacentral:rRNA from 1 species